AACGAACGCUGGCGGCAUGCCUAACACAUGCAAGUCGAACGAGACCUGCGGGUCUAGUGGCGCACGGGUGCGUAACGCGUGGGAACCUGCCCUUAGGUUCGGAAUAACUCCCCGAAAGGGGUGCUAAUACCGGAUAAUGUCUUCGGACCAAAGAUUUAUCGCCUGUGGAUGGGCCCGCGGUGGAUUAGCUGGUUGGUAGGGUAAAAGCCUACCAAGGCGACGAUCCAUAGCUGGUCUGAGAGGAUGAUCAGGCACACUGGGACUGAGACACGGCCCAGACUCCUACGGGAGGCAGCAGUGGGGAAUAUUGGACAAUGGGCGAAAGCCUGAUCCAGCAAUGCCGCGUGAGUGAUGAAGGCCUUAGGGUUGUAAAGCUCUUUUACCCAGGAUGAUAAUGACAGUACCGGGAGAAUAAGCUCCGGCUAACUCCGUG
rnacentral:rRNA from 1 species